GUGAGGAAUAUUGGUCAAUGGGCGCAAGCCUGAACCAGCCAUGCCGCGUGCAGGAAGACGGUCCUAUGGAUUGUAAACUGCUUUUAUUUGGGAAUAAACUCCGGUACGUGUACCGGCCUGAAGGUACCAAAUGAAUAAGCACCGGCUAACUCCGUGCCAGCAGCCGCGGUAAUACGGAGGGUGCAAGCGUUAUCCGGAAUCAUUGGGUUUAAAGGGUCCGCAGGCGGUCUUAUAAGUCAGUGGUGAAAGCCUACAGCUCAACUGUAGAACUGCCAUGGAUACUGUAGGACUUGAAUUCGAUCGAAGUGGGCGGAAUGUGACAUGUAGCGGUGAAAUGCUUAGAUAUGUCACAGAACACCGAUAGCGAAGGCAGCUCACUAGGUCUGGAUUGACGCUCAGGGACGAAAGCGUGGGGAGCAAACAGGAUUAGAUACCCGAGUAGUCC
rnacentral:rRNA from 1 species